CUUCUUACUAAUUUUUGUUACUUUCUAUGACAGGUGUUUGGAGACCUCUGGGAUAAAGCAUUUCUCACUGCUGCCUCUGCUCCUCUACAUGGGAAGAAACAUAGGUAAAGAAAUGUGACUGUGUAAGACUCCUAGCAUCUAUAAUCGUUGGUCGGUUUGGAAAUACAUAUUGCUCUUGCAUAUAAUAUUGUUGUCGGAAGGAAAGAAAGCAAGCUGUCUUACAAUUGAGCACAAUUUGUCAGCAAAAACAGGAAGCAGCUUUCUUUCCCUGCAAUUGUUAUUGGUCACAUCAUAUUAAACUCAGUCUGGUUAAUUCACAGAAUUAGUUUGUUGUGCUCUCCUGAUUACAGUUAGUACACUCAGCUGAGCUGACAUUCUUAGCAGUGAGUUGGAAAAUGCUGUGAUAGCAGUAUAAAAAAAAAAAGGUGUUAAGAAAAAAGCAAAGAAAGUUGAUCAGUUCAGGUAUCAAAGUAGGAAAAACAAAAUACUGACAUUGCUGAAAUGAAUAGAUUGUGUUGCAUGUGGGGCACAGGAAGUGAUAGAAGGGAUUUGGAUUGUUGUGAUUUGGGAGGAUAUGGACACACAAACACACACAUAGUUUUUAUAAUGUAAUUCAGUGAUUUGGGAGAAUAGAUGGAUUCACACAAAGCCUUUAUAUUGUAAUACAUGAUGCCACUCCUAUUACAAUGUACCAGAGCAUGGCAGUAGUGUAUAAGUUUAUAAUGAAGUUCCUUUUGUGUCUUGAGAGCAUGCAGUAUUGGUUAUUAAACUCUGUCAAAACAUUAAAAGGAAGUACAUACAGGGUACGAUCAAUUAGUAGUAGGACUGAAUUUCUGUAGCGCGAACAGAGCAGUGGAGGGGAUUGGACCGUCUGGGCGUCAUAGUUAGGAACCUUCCGGAUAUUUUUUUCCAGUUGCGUGCAGGAAAACGGUGAGGAGCACAUCGGUUUUUCUGGUCCUCCGAUCCAUAGUGUGGUCGCGUUUAGAGAUGGAGAAAAAUCUGGGUGAAACUCGGGAAAACCACAAUGGAGACUCUUGGAAUGAUUAAGGACGCCUACAGGGAUAUUGCCCUGAACUGCUCAACACUGUUAGUGGCACAAGCUGUUUCUAGAGGGGUGGGAGCUCGUUGAAGAUGACCAGCACGCCGGUCCCCCAUCAUCUUACAAGGAUUGAUGAAAAUGUGGCCAAAGUGAAGGUGCUCCUGGACUCUGGCGGGCGCUUAAACAUUCAUCUGAUGGUGAUGCGUUGGGGAUGUUGUAAGGUGCCAUACAAAAAAUUGUUACCGAGGAUUUGGCCAUGUGAAAGCUGUGUGCCAAGUUUGUGCCUAAAAUCCUGAGUGACAAACAAAAGCUGAAUUGUGUGCAAAUUUCCCAGGAAAUACUGAAAAACCCCAAAUUUUCUUCACAAUUUGAUUACCAGUGACGAAUUGCGGUGUUUUGAGUACAACCCAGAGACCAAACACCAGAGUGCUGAGUGGCACAUUGCCAAUUUUUUUGCUGUUGGGGAGUGGUUCACUGGGAGCUGUGUGAAUGCUAAAUGUUAUGUGGAAGUGCUUAAAAGGUUGUGCAAAUUUGUCCUCAGAGUGUGGCCAGACUGCUGCUUGUUAGAAGCUGCACCAAGAUAACAUGCCAUGUCACAGCAUGCUGCGAAUGUUGGAACACGUGGCCAAGCACAGGGUUGCCACAUUGCCUCACCCUCCUUAGUCCAGGUCUUCUUCCUCUCCAAUGGAACCUCAGUGGAUACCAAUUCGGCUCUGUAGAAGGUGUCCAAAAUGCUGUGACAGUGUCCCUAAAGAGGAUCAUGGAAAGCAAGUUCCAGAAGGCAUACGUGCAGUGGGAAUCGCGUCACACGCUUUGUCGAAGUACAAGGGUGCUACUUCGAGGAAUUCUAAGGAUUAGUACCAGGUAAUUCAGUAAAAAAAAAAUUAAAUUAAUUCAGUUCUGCUUCUUACUGAUUAAACCCUGUAUUUAUUUUGUAAAAGAAAUAAACCGAUGGAAAAACUUGCAACCUGUUCCAA